CCAGAGAACUUAGCAGAGAUGCUUUGGUGCCUUCGGGAACUCUGAGACAGGUGCUGCAUGGCUGUCGUCAGCUCGUGCUGUGAAAUGUUGGGUUAAGUCCCGNAACGAGCGCAACCCCUAUCCUUUGUUGCCAGCGAUUCGGUCGGGAACUCAAAGGAGACUGCCGGUGAUAAACCGGAGGAAGGUGGGGAUGACGUCAAGUCAUCAUGGCCCUUACGAGUAGGGCUACACACGUGCUACAAUGGCGCAUACAAAGAGAAGCGACCUCGCGAGUGCAAGCGGACCUCAUAAAGUGCGUCGUAGUCCGGAUUGGAGUCUGCAACUCGACUCCAUGAAGUCGGAAUCGCUAGUAAUCGUAGAUCAGAAUGCUACGGUGAAUACGUUCCCGGGCCUUGUACACACCGCCCGUCACACCAUGGGAGUGGGUUGCAAAAGAAGUAGAUAGCUUAACCUUCGGGAGGGCGUUUACCACUUUGUGAUUCAUGACUGGGGUGAAGUCGUAACAAGGUAAGCGUACGUGU
rnacentral:rRNA from 1 species